rnacentral:rRNA from 1 species
GCGAAAACUUUACAAUGCUGGCAACAGCGAUAAGGGAACCUCGAGUGCCAGGAUACAAAUCUGGCUGUCGAGAUGCCUAAAAGGCAUUUCAUAGCAAGGGCCGGGCAAGACCGGUGCCAGCCGCCGCGGUAACACAGGCGGCUCGAGUGGUAACCGUUAUUAUUGGGUCUAAGGGGUCUGUAGCCGGCCGGAUAAGUCUCUUGAGAAAUCUGGCAGCUUAACUGUCAGGCUUUCAGGAGAUACUGUCUGGCUCGAGGCCGGGAGAGGUGAGAGGUACUUCAGGGGAAGGGGUGAAAUCUUGUAAUCCUUGAAGGACCACCAGUGGCGAAGGCGUCUCACCAGAACGGACCUGACGGCAAGGGACGAAAGCUAGGUGCACUAACC